UAGGGUGAGCAACCGUCCUGGUUUGCCUGGGACUGAGGGGGCGUUUCCAGGAUGUGGGACUUUAGUUUUAAAACAGGGA
rnacentral:miRNA from 1 species